UUUCAUUAGAAAAAGUGCAGUACAUUUUCAUGGUACGGUCAGUACUGUUUAUUUUUGUAAUAAAGUGAACUUAAUUUUUCCACUGAGUGUUAUAUUUUCAUUCAGUAGUAAUGGUUAUUAGUAGGUGCUACCCGACUUGGUUAUCAGCGUCUGUAAGAUCCACUGUCGGUCAGCCUUUAAAAUAGAUUAAUGUGUAUGACAUGAUCUUCUUUAAUUAAUAAAGAAAUGCACUUGUUGACAACUUGCUGUGGUAUAAGGGGAAUAAAACACUUCGGAAUGUGCAGUUCUACUUUAGGGUGGUAACGGUCACUCCACUUCAUUGAUCGUUGACUGUUUUCCUAUAACCGCAUGUUUAUUCCUUACAUAAAUUAAACACAAAGCAUGUAGGGGUUCUACAUGCAUGUAGUAUUUGUACAAUCAAUAACCUAUUAGAGUAAUACAUUGUGGUAUAUAAACUGAACUUUGUGUUUGUGUCUGCAGUGUCCAAAGCCCGUGGUGGUGGCAGUGCAAGGCGUGUGUGGGGGAGCAGGUCUGUUGGGAGUGUUAAGUACCAUCAUCUCAUACACUCAGCAAACAAUAUGGAUGGAACUUUCCAGAGUUGUGGUGUCACUUUUCCUGCAAAGCUUUAACCAUCAGAGAGUUAUCUUUUACUGGGGCUUUUAGCUGCAGGAGACUGAAUUACUAACAGUUUUUUUUUGUGGAUCUGAUUUCUUCUUUCGCAGGAGUGGAUCUAAUCACAGCCUGUGAUAUUCGUCUGUGCACACAGGAUGCCUGGUUUCAGGUGAAGGAGAACGAGAAACUCUGACACAAGAGUACAUCCUGACCAUUGGUACUGUGUACACAUCAACAUACACACACGUCUCCAUGCUGGACAUCUCAGGAGCUUUCACACACAGUGCUAGGAAUAUCCCGGGACAGAGAAACGCACCUCCUAAGUGAGCGAGUUUAGCGUCAACCGGUGAAAUUUGCUGUAGCGUGAACACUUCGCCUCUGUGAGCUUCACUCUCCGUCAGGUUCACUGUAAUUAGACAUAAAAUGUACAUAAUGUUUAUUUUUCAUGCAUUUAGGAUUUAAUGUUUUUUUUUGUUUUUUUUACUCUUUGAGGAACAGAAAUGAUCUUUCGAGGCAGCUUCUUCAUCACUACCUGCUCCGUUUGACUAAAAAAUGUAACGACUGGUUUCAAAAAGUCACAAUGUCUUCAGUUCAUGUGAUUUUACUGUUUAAUUUAAACAGGAAAUGUGAAAUAUUUUUUUCCUUUGUUUCCUCUACUGUCUUUUUGCUGUGAUCUUGAACACAGUUGUAAUUUAAAAAAAAAUAAUAAAUAAAUGAUCAUUCUAUUCUUUCUCACUUUCCUUGUCCUAAUUGUCCUGUAUCUGUUAAAUCCGUUUAAUCUCUGGUCUUUCUGUCUGUAUGAACACUUGUAGAAAUGACUUGUAGUCCAU
ensembl:lncRNA